rnacentral:rRNA from 1 species
GAUGAACGCUAGCGACAGGCUUAACACAUGCAAGUCGAGGGGCAGCAGGGAUUUAGCUUGCUAAAUCCGCUGGCGACCGGCGCACGGGUGCGUAACGCGUAUCCAACUUUCCCGUUACUCAGGGAUAGCCUUCCGAAAGGGAGAUUAAUACCUGAUGGUGUUCAAAUUCCGCAUGUUAUUUGAACUAAAGAUUUAUCGGUAACAGAUGGGGAUGCGUGACAUUAGAUAGUAGGCGGGGUAACGGCCCACCUAGUCUACGAUGUCUAGGGGUUCUGAGAGGAAGGUCCCCCACACUGGAACUGAGACACGGUCCAGACUCCUACGGGAGGCAGCAGUGAGGAAUAUUGGUCAAUGGUCGGAAGACUGAACCCAGCCAAGUAGCGUGAAGGAUGAAGGUUCUAUGGAUUGUAAACUUCUUUUAUACGGGAAUAAAGCCCGCUACGUGUAGCGGUUUGUAUGUACCGUAUGAAUAAGCAUCGGCUAAACUCCGUG